UACAGAGGUCUCAAGCGUUGUUCGGAUUCAUUGGGCGUAAAGGGCGCGUAGGCGGCGGGGUAAGUCGGGUGUGAAAUCUCAGAGCUCAACUCUGAAACUGCACUCGAUACUGCUUUGCUAGAGGACUGGAGAGGAGAUUGGAAUUCACGGUGUAGCAGUGAAAUGCGUAGAUAUCGUAAGGAAGACCAGUGGCGAAGGCGGGUCUCUGGACAGUUCCUGACGCUGAGGCACGAAGGCCAGGGGAGCAAACGGG
rnacentral:rRNA from 1 species